AUUUGCCUCUGGCAUGUAGAUUGAUAGCUAGGCAUAAAUAGAAGCUAACUUAUGAUUUGUCAUGCAAGACAGAAAAUGUAACGGUUAACAUUACUAGAGCUAGCCUAAGGUGUAGACAUUCUAUUCACUGUGGUUUAGCUAGCUAGCUGCUAUUGUUGCAUCAUGGACAACACUUAGAGCUAACAUUAGCUUUUAAAAAUAUCUUUUUUAGAUAGGAUGUAAUGUGGUAUGUGCUGGAGAGUAUUAGAGUGGACGUGAAUGGAAAUGAUAUUGCAAGUAAUGUGUUUUGUUUUUGUGCACUAUCAAACUACUUUGUCAUGCUUUGUGCACUGACAUUCUUGCAAAACCAUUCAUACCCAUGCUAAAUUAUGGAAAUGUAAAAGUUGAAUUGUAUUGAAAAGGACCAUGUAUGGUCAUGUAGUAUAUUUGAGCACUGAAACCCCUUUUUUUUUACAUUUUAGAGAGGGAGGCAACACUCGAAAGCUACAUCAAGGACACCGGAGGAAGGACCAGAAGACCUGAGACCAAGACGACCCAAGCCCAACCCGUAGUAUGCUUCACUGACAAAUGUUGAUGUUGAUGCUUCAUCAUCACAUAGACCAAAGGUUUCAGAGAAGGCUGGUAGAGCUCUCUAUGAGUGUGAGCUGUGGUGGGAGAUAACCCAGAACUGACAACCACCUAAAGAAGAGGUGGCAAUAAUGGCUCUCCAAGAGGAGGUUGUGAGUCUGAAGGCUUUUAUUCAACAAGGAGGCACUUAGAGGGAAUGCCUGGACCCUGAGAGGACUAAGACGAUAAUUGAGGCCACCCUGAAGCAGUUCCCAGGCCAGACACUCACUCCAGAUUGCUGGGCCAGGCAAUAAAUGCCAAAGUGACAGAACUGAGGUUCCAUAACAAAAACAAAGA